rnacentral:rRNA from 1 species
CCCUUGAGGCGUGGCUUCCGGAGCUAACGCGUUAAAUCGACCGCCUGGGGAGUACGGCCGCAAGGUUAAAACUCAAAUGAAUUGACGGGGGCCCGCACAAGCGGUGGAGCAUGUGGUUUAAUUCGAUGCAACGCGAAGAACCUUACCUGGUCUUGACAUCCACAGAACUUUCCAGAGAUGGAUUGGUGCCUUCGGGAACUGUGAGACAGGUGCUGCAUGGCUGUCGUCAGCUCGUGUUGCGAAACGCUGGGCUAAGUCCCGCAACGAGCGCAACCCUUAUCCUUUGUUGCCAGCGGUUAGGCCGGGAACUCAAAGGAGACUGCCAGUGAUAAACUGGAGGAAGGUGGGGAUGACGUCAAGUCAUCAUGGCCCUUACGACCAGGGCUACACACGUGCUACAAUGGCAUAUACAAAGAGAAGCGACCUCGCGAGAGCAAGCGGACCUCAUAAAGUAUGUCGUAGUCCGGAUUGGAGUCUGCAACUCGACUCCAUGAAGUCGGA